GUCGAGCGAUCCCUUCGGGGAUAGCGGCGGACGGGUGAGUAACGCGUGGGAACGUGCCCUUCACUACGGAAUAGCCCAUGGAAACGUGGAUUAAUACCGUAUACGCCCUUUGGGGGAAAGAAUUUCGGUGAAGGAUCGGCCCGCGUCUGAUUAGGUAGUUGGUGGGGUAAUGGCCUACCAAGCCGACGAUCAGUAGCUGGUUUUAGAGGAUGAUCAGCCACACUGGGACUGAGACACGGCCCAGACUCCUACGGGAGGCAGCAGUGGGGAAUCUUAGACAAUGGGGGCAACCCUGAUCUAGCCAUGCCGCGUGAGUGAUGAAGGUCUUAGGAUCGUAAAGCUCUUUCGCCUGUGAUGAUAAUGACAGUAGCAGGUAAAGAAACCCCGGCUAACUCCGUGCCAGCAGCCGCGGUAAUACGGAGGGGGUUAGCGUUGUUCGGAAUUACUGGGCGUAAAGCGCGCGUAGGCGGACUGGAAAGUUGGGGGUGAAAUCCCGGGGCUCAACCCCGGAACUGCCUUCAAAACUAUCAGUCUAGAGUUCGAGAGAGGUGAGUGGAAUUGCGAGUGUAGAGGUGAAAUUCGUAGAUAUUCGCA
rnacentral:rRNA from 1 species